rnacentral:rRNA from 1 species
GGUAAAAAUUAAUUAAAUAGAAAUAAUAAUAAAAAUAAUUUUAAUAUAAAUAUAAUAUAAAUAUAUUUUAAUGGGGGUUAAAGUAUAAUUUAUAGAAAAAAUUAAAAUUUUUAUAGAAAAUUAGUAUUGUAAAAGAAUUUUGAAAUAUAAAAAAUAAUAAUUUAUGAAAAAGUAAAUUUAUAUUAUUGUAUCUUGUGUAUCAGAGUUUAUUAAAAAUUAGUUUUGUGGAAAUUAAUUCUCGAAUUUAAAAGAGAUAAUUAAUUAGUAAAGUUAUUGUAUCAUAAAUAUUUUUAAUAAUUAAUUUGUAAUGAGAUGUUAAUCGUUUUUAAAUAUAUCUAGUUUUUUUAGAAAUAAAUUUAAUUUAUAAUUUAUAAAUUAAAAAAAAAUUAUAUACUUAAUUUUUUUUUUUAUAAAUUAAAUAUUUUAAGGGAUAAGCUUUAAAUUAAAUAAUUAUAAUAAAUAAAAUAAAUUAUAAAUAAAUUUUUUAAAAUUUAAAUUAUUUAAAAAUUAUAUUUUUUUAUAAAAAAAUUUAAAUAAGAAAAAAAAUUUAUUAAUAAAAUUUAAUUUUUUAUAAAAAAAUAUUUUUUAAUUUGAAAAAUUUAGUUAUAAUGAUAAAAUUAGUAUAAAUAAUUAAAAAUUAAUAUAAAAAAAAAAAUUUGAAAAUUAAAAUAAAGGAAUUCGGCAAAUAUACAUAUUCACUUGUUUAACAAAAACAUGUCUUUUUGAGAAUAAUUUAAAGUCGAAUCUGCCCACUGAUAAUUAUUAAAGGGCUGCAGUAUAUUGACUGUACAAAGGUAGCAUAAUCAUUAGUCUUUUAAUUGAAGACUUGUAUGAAAGAUUUGAUGAGAUAUGAACUGUCUCUAAUUUAUAAUUGGAAUUUAAUUUUUUAGUAAAAAAGCUAAAAUGGGUUUAAAAGACGAGAAGACCCUAUAGAGUUUUAUAUUUAUUUAAAUUCUAAUUUUUUAUAAGUUUUUAAUAAAAAUUUAAUUAAAUAUUUUAUUGGGGUGAUAAAAAAAUUAAUAAAACUUUUUUUUAAAAUUAACAUAGAUAAUUGAUUAAUUGAUCCAUAAAUUAUGAUUAUAAGAUUAAAUUACCUUAGGGAUAACAGCGUAAUUUUUUUUUUUAGUUCAAAUAAAAAAAAAAGUUUGCGACCUCGAUGUUGGAUUAAGAUAAAAUUUAAAUGUAGAAGUUUAAAAUUUUGAUCUGUUCGAUCAUUAAAAUCUUACAUGAUCUGAGUUCAAACCGGUGUAAGCCAGGUUGGUUUCUAUCUUUAGAAAAUUAUAAUAUUUUAGUACGAAAGGAUCAAAUAUUAAAAAUAAAUUUUAAUUAGGGGAAUAUUAUUAAAUAAUAUAUAUAUAUAUAAAUAA